rnacentral:rRNA from 1 species
CCUACGGGAGGCAGCAGUGAGGAAUAUUGGUCAAUGGUCGGGAGACUGAACCAGCCAAGCCGCGUGAGGGAGGAAGGUACAGAGUAUCGUAAACCUCUUUUGUCAGGGAACAAAGGCGGGGACGUGUCCCCGGAUGAGUGUACCUGAAGAAAAAGCAUCGGCUAACUCCGUGCCAGCCGCCGCGGUAAUACGGAGGAUGCGAGCGUUAUCCGGAUUUAUUGGGUUUAAAGGGUGGGCAGGCGGUCUGUUAAGUCAGCGGUCAAAGCCCGGGGCGAAACCCCGGCCCGCCGUUGAAACUGGCAGUCUCGAGUUGGAGAGAAGUAUGCGGAAUGCGCGGUGUAGCGGUGAAAUGCAUAGAUAUCGCGCAGAACUCCGAUUGCGAAGGCAGCAUGCCGGCUCCACACUGACGCUGAGGCACGAAAGCGUGGGUAUCGAACAGGAUUAGAUACCCCAGUAGUC